UGUGAGCUCCGGGUGUCUGGAACCCAC
rnacentral:piRNA from 1 species